rnacentral:rRNA from 1 species
CUCAGUAACACGUGGACAAUCUGCCCUAAGGUGGGGAAUAAUCUCGGGAAACUGAGCAUAAUUCCCCAUAGCUCAUGAAUGCUGGAAUGCUUCAUGUUCGAAAGCUCCGGCGCCUUAGGAUGAGUCUGCGGCCUAUCAGGUUGUAGUGGGUGUAACGGACCCACUAGCCAGUGACGGGUAUGGGCGUUGGGAGACGUCGCCCAGAGAUGGAUUCUGAGACACGAAUCCAGGCCCUACGGGGCGCAGCAGUCGCGAAAACUUGGCAAUGCGGGCAACCGCGACCAGGGGAUUCCAAGUGCAUGCACAAUGUGUAUGCUGUUCCAUUGUCUUAAAAACAUAGGAAGUAAGAGCUGGGUAAGACAGGUGCCAGCCGCCGCGGUAAUACCUGCAGCUCGAGUGGUGGCCGAUAUUAUUGAGCCUAAAGCGUCCGUAGCCGGUCUAGUAAAUUCUUGGGUAAAUUGGGUAGCUUAACUAUCCGAAUUCCGAGGAGACUGCUAGACUUGGGACUGGGAGAGGUCAGAGGUACUCCAGGGGUAGGGGCUAAAUCCUGUAAUCCUUGGAGGACCACCAGUGGCGAAGGCGUCUGACUAGAACGGAUCCGACGGUAAGGGACGAAACCCUGGGUCGCAAACCGGAUUAGAUACCCGGGUAGUCCAGGGCGUAAACGCUGCAGGCUUGGUGUUGGGGAUCCUACGAGGGUGCCCAGUGCCGGAGUGAAGAUGUUAAGCCUGCCGCUUGGGGAGUACGUCCGCAAGGAUGAAACUAAAG